CAAGUCGAACGAACCUUCGGGUUAGUGGCGGACGGGUGAGUAACGCGUGAGAAUCUGCCCUCAGGAGGGGGAUAACGGUUGGAAACGACCGCUAAUACCCCAUAUGCCGAGAGGUGAAACGAAAUUCGCCUGAGGAUGAGCUCGCGUCUGAUUAGCUAGUUGGUGUGGUAAUGGCGCACCAAGGCUUCGAUCAGUAGCUGGUCUGAGAGGACGAUCAGUCACACUGGAACUGAGACACGGUCCAGACUCC
rnacentral:rRNA from 1 species